UCCCUGGUGGCUCAGACGGUAAAGCAUCUGCCUGCAAUGUAGGAGACCCAGGUUCAAAGCCUGGGUCAGGAAG
rfam:TPA: Bos taurus chromosome 1, whole genome shotgun sequence.